GUCGCGGUGGCUGAGUGGUUAAGCGCAAGGCUUCCGAACCUGGGGUCCUGGGUUCGAAUCUCAGUGAAGACU
rfam:Biomphalaria glabrata isolate BB02 unplaced genomic scaffold LGTN_random_Scaffold1836, whole genome shotgun sequence.